rnacentral:rRNA from 1 species
GACAUUUGGUAGAGACUGUUGAAGCCACCUGGUCCCAGCAGACCCCAGAAAAACGGCCACAUUCACUGGUGCUGGAACGAGGUCGUUAAGGGUGAAGCCUGGUGCCAGAUGUGU